rnacentral:rRNA from 1 species
UACGUAGGGGACAAGCGUUGUCCGGAUUUAUUGGGCGUAAAGAGCGCGCAGGCGGUCGUUCAAGUCGAGUGUGAAAGCCCCCGGCUCAACUGGGGAGGGUCACUCGAUACUGAUCGACUCGAAGGCAGAAGAGGGAAGCGGAAUUCCCGGUGUAGUGGUGAAAUGCGUAGAUAUGCGGAGGAACACCGAUGGCGAAGGCAGUCCCCUGGGCCUGUACUGACGCUCAUGCACGAAAGCGUGGGGAGCAAACAGG